rnacentral:lncRNA from 1 species
UGUGGGGUGGGCGCCAGCCCGGCCUCUUAGAGCUGCCUUGUAUGUGGGACCAAAUAGGACAGAAUGUGUGCAAGCAAGUGUGUUAUGCUGCACGUUUGAUAUAAGUUUUUCGCAUAUCUGAGCUCUUACGUUCCCCAAAUGCAUAAUUUUUCAAAGCUUUACGCUUCCUAGCUUCUGUUUUUUUGAAUAACAGUGAAAUGCGGCAUUUGUAUAAAUUGAGAGGAAACCUGGAUGCUUAAUUUUUUUUUUCCUCUACAAAACAAUAAUUGUUAUCCCACAUUAUGUAGUAGAUACUUCAGUUACAAUUUUGGUUCAUAUUUUCAAAUUUGUUACAAUUUCAAACGCAAAAUAUUUGUCUUUACUAGAUUGUUACUUUAUUAUGUAAAUGAUAUAUUCUAAAUUUUUGGCUUGAAAUGCCUUUGUUUUCCACAAUUUUAAAAAUGGCUACAUAAUUUUCCAAUAACUAUACAUACUAUAGUUUCCUUUGCCCAUUGGUUUGUUCCUGAAUGUGUACCUUCUUAUCCUCCAUUGUUUUAUAGACUCGGUAGUAAACUUAUACAAUCUGGUAGCAAAAUUUUAGCCCUGUUAUGGAUAAUAUUUAGUAAAAUACUGAUCCAAGACAAUAUUUCCAAAAUAUUAUCACCAACAAUGUUUGUGUCUUUCCCUUCUUCUGACUUUUCCCUUUGGAUGGCAGCAAAAUUCAGAAGGCUUAGACUACCACUGUCCUCCACAAGGUGCUCCAGCAGAUUGUCACCUUAUUCAACACAAGAGGUUGGUUGGAAUGAAACUGGCCUGGAGAAAUUAUUCACUGAAUUUUUAUCAGCAUUGGGAAGUCCUGGAGCCCUGCUUGUUGAAUGAGUUAGGGGUGGAAGGGCUCUCUCAGGCCAUGACAACUCCCUAAUGCUGUGAAGAGCUACUUCCAAGGAAUCAGUCUCUAUCUGGAAAAGAAAGAAGAGAGCCUCUGUACAUGGGAAGUUGGAGCAAGAAAUCAUGAGAUCCUUCUUUUUUUCAUCAAACUUGCAAGUAAGAUUAAUAGCUUAGGAACAGACUUGUGUCUUCAUGAAAUGAUUACUAUAGACACUCUUCAUUAUAUUCCCAUAUGUUUAGUUAUUUUAAAAGACUAUCUUUUCUGCCUGCAUAAUGAAAUGAUUGAAUCAAAUUUGUCACAAUACUUGUUGGUAAUGUCAAGCAACUGUAUGAUAAAGCAUCCAGUUCUUAGGGGCAUUAGCUCACCAUGGAUGAUAUUAUUAAUUUACCCAUGUACUUAAUUAUUGAUUCUACUACAUUUAUUGUAUUCAGUAUUUUUGCUUGUAUGAAAUGUUCACUUUUAACACUGUGCUAAUUACAUUAAAAAGUGUUCACUUUAUG